rnacentral:rRNA from 1 species
AUUGAACGCUGGCGGCAUGCUUUACACAUGCAAGUCGAACGGCAGCGCGGGCUUCGGCCUGGCGGCGAGUGGCGAACGGGUGAGUAAUGCAUCGGAACGUGCCCAGUAGUGGGGGAUAGCCCGGCGAAAGCCGGAUUAAUACCGCAUACGACCUGAGGGUGAAAGCGGGGGACCGAAAGGCCUCGCGCUAUUGGAGCGGCCGAUGUCGGAUUAGCUAGUUGGUGGGGUAAAGGCUUACCAAGGCGACGAUCCGUAGCUGGCCUGAGAGGACGACCAGCCACACUGGAACUGAGACACGGCCCAGACUCCUACGGGAGGCAGCAGUAGGGAAUUUUGGACAAUGGGGGCAACCCUGAUCCAGCCAUGCCGCGUGCGGGAAGAAGGCCUUCGGGUUGUAAACCGCUUUUGUUCGGGAAGAAAACCUCUGGGCUAAUACCCCGGGGGGAUGACGGUACCGGAAGAAUAAGCACCGGCUAACUACGUG